GGAUCAAUAUGUCGGUCGUGCCUCGGUACGUACUGGUAUUGUUGGUUUCUUCCUUCUGACGAACCUUGAUGUCAUUAAUUUGGUGUCUUGGGGAAUCAGGACUGUUACUUUGAAAAAAUUAGAGUGUUCAAAGCAGGCAAUUCGCUUGGAUACAUUAGCAUGGAAUAAUGGAAUAGGACAAUGGUUCUAUUUGUUGGUUUCUAGGAUUGACGUA
rnacentral:rRNA from 1 species